rnacentral:rRNA from 1 species
CUGCCAGUGAUAAACUGGAGGAAGGUGGGGAUGACGUCAAGUCAUCAUGGCCCUUACGACCAGGGCUACACACGUGCUACAAUGGCAUAUACAAAGAGAAGCGACCUCGCGAGAGCAAGCGGACCUCAUAAAGUAUGUCGUAGUCCGGAUUGGAGUCUGCAACUCGACUCCAUGAAGUCGGAAUCGCUAGUAAUCGUAGAUCAGAAUGCUACGGUGAAUACGUUCCCGGGCCUUGUACACACCGCCCGUCACACCAUGGGAGUGGGUUGCAAAAGAAGUAGGUAGCUUAACCUUCGGGAGGGCGCUUACCACUUUGUGAUUCAUGACUGGGGUGAAGUCGUAACAAGGUAACCGUAG